AGAAGGUUUUAGAUUUUCAUUUGACAUAUUUCUAUCCUCUUUUUCACCUUUCUUAUUGUUAUCCUCCCCAAUCUUAUUGUCUACUACACGUCCACUCCUUAGGGUAGUCAAAGCAUUGGCUUGUUCAUGAUGAAUUGUAUUUAGUUGAUUUUCUUGAGCCAUGUAUUGCCCCCUAGGAUUACUUAGUGGUUGGUUUGGAAGCUUUCCUUCCUCUCGCUUGUUCAGUGUAUUAGCUAGUUGCCCCAUUUGGGAUUCUAGCUUGGCGAUGGAUUGCGUGUGAGAGUGCACCAAUUGUGUAAUGGUUUCCAAACCUUGAAGGGAGGUCAACACUUUCUCCUCAAAGGCUGUGUUUCUAUAGGGUGGAGGAGGAGUGUGUUGAAAUUGAGUCGAAGGAUGGUAGGAAUAAAUAUUUUGGAAUGGUUGAAAGUUUUGGGAAUAAGGCUGGGAAGUAUUGGAUGUCUGCUGCUUCCAAGACAAAUUUGGAUGGUUGUGCCACCCCGGGUUAUAAGUGUUAGAAUACGGGUCAUUACCCGGUCGGGACUGAGCUUGGGCAACAUUAACUUGUUCUUGCACAAAUUCAGAAAAUUGAGCUGCCGAAGGGCAUUCAUGAAUAGGGUGAGACAGGCUAGAACAAAGAGCACAAACUUGUGCUUGGAGAAAGUUUGGAAGCUAUUCUCUAGACAUUAGCUGGUCCAAUUUGCGGGACAGUGCAUCUACUUUGUCGGAUAGACCUAUGGGCUGGCUAACUUCAUAUAUGGUCCCUUUUCUUUGAGAACUCGAGGGUGCUUGACGAGCGGAGGAGGCAUGGUGGAGAGAAUUUUUAUUAAGGUUUUCAAACAUCUGCCAUGCCUCAUGCUCACUUUUAAGUAUGAAAGUUCCCCCACAUGAAGCAUCAACCAUCUGACGGUUUCAUUCAGACAACCCGUCAUAAAAGCAUUGCACUAGUUUCCAUUUGGGUAUUUGAUGAUGCGGGC
rnacentral:lncRNA from 1 species